rnacentral:rRNA from 1 species
GUGCCAGCAGCCGCGGUAAUACGGAGGAUCCGAGCGUUAUCCGGAUUUAUUGGGUUUAAAGGGUGUGUAGGCGGCUUUAUAAGUCAGUGGUGAAAGACGGCAGCUCAACUGUCGCAGUGCCUUUGAUACUGUAGAGCUUGAAUGUGAUUGAAGAUGGCGGAACGAGACAAGUAGCGGUGAAACGCAUAGAUAUGUCUCAGAACUCCGAUCGCGAAGGCAGCUGUCUAAGUCAUUAUUGACGCUGAUGCACGAAAGCGUGGGGAUCGAACAGGAUUAGAAACCCGUGUAGUCC